UACGUAGGGGCCGAGCGUUGUCCGGAGUUAUUGGGCGUAAAGCGCGCGCAGGCGGCCUCGCGCGCCCGACGUGAAAGCCCCCGGCUUAACCGGGGAGGGUCGUUGGGGACGGCGGGGCUUGAGGGCGGGAGAGGUCGGUGGAAUUCCCGGUGUAGUGGUGAAAUGCGUAGAGAUCGGGAGGAACACCUGUGGCGAAGGCGGCCGACUGGGCCGACCCUGACGCUGAGGCGCGAAAGCGUGGGGAGCGAACAGG
rnacentral:rRNA from 1 species